UACGAAGGGGGCUAGCGUUGUUCGGAUUUACUGGGCGUAAAGCGCACGUAGGCGGAUUGUUAAGUCAGGGGUGAAAUCCUGGAGCUCAACUCCAGAACUGCCUUUGAUACUGGCAAUCUUGAGUCCAGAAGAGGUGAGUGGAACUCCUAGUGUAGAGGUGGAAUUCGUAGAUAUUAGGAAGAACACCAGUGGCGAAGGCGGCUCACUGGUCCGGUACUGACGCUGAGGUGCGAAAGCGUGGGGAGCAAACAGG
rnacentral:rRNA from 1 species